CCUACGGGGGGCAGCACUUAGGAAUCUUGCGCAAUGGGCGAAAGCCUGACGCAGCGACGCCGCGUGACUGAUGACGUCUUUCGGGAUGUAAAGGUCUUUUGCAGGGGAAGAAGAAUGUGACGGUAACCUGCGAAUAAGCUCCGGCUAACUACGUGCCAGCAGCCGCGGUAAUACGUAGGGAGAGAGCGUUUUCCGAAUUCACUGGGCGUAAAGCGCGCGUAGGCGGGUUAUUAAGUUGGUGGUGAAAUCCCGGAGCUCAACUUCGGAACUGCCGUCAAAACGGGUAGCCUUGAGGGAUGGAGAGGGAAUUGGAAUUCCUGGUGUAGCGGUGAAAUGCGUAGAUAUCAGGAGGAACACCCAUGGCGAAGGCAGAUUCCUGGCCAUAUCCUGACGCUGAGGUGCGAAAGCCAGGGUAGCGAACG
rnacentral:rRNA from 1 species